UCGAGAGAGCGGGAGAUCGCCGUCCGCCAAGAGACAAAGCGGCGGCCCGUUUCGUUUGGAUUCCUCCCUGCAGCGAUCGACGCCAAGAAAGAGUCGCCGUCCACCAAGAACAAGCGACGGCCCGUUUCCUUUGGAUUCCUCCUGCAGCGAUGCACGCCACGGUCCUCUUUCUCGCUAAGCCCCCCCUCGAUCCCCAAACUGUUUCGUAUACUACGUGGGGUGGGGUUGCCGUUGAGGCUACAUUUUCUUGCUAAGAUCGUACAAAUGACGGCCCGUUUCUUUGGAUUCCUCCUGCAGCGAUGCACGCCACGGUCAUCUUUCUCGAAUUUGCUUAGGAAGCUUAAUUGGAGGAAGAAUGAAGUGGAAGGCUAUAAUGGAGUCUACGAGUCACACUCCUUCCAGAGAGAUUCUUCAAGAUGUUGGUUGCAAUUUAAGCUGGAUGUUGAAAGCGAUUUGUUGUUCUGCAUCCUGCUCAGCAAGAGAGAGGGAGGCGAGGGGACAAGGGGAAAGGUGGUGAAGGCGGAGGAGGAGGUGAGGAACAGAUUAGGGAUCGUGAUGACAAGGACUUCCCCGAUAGUGACUUUGAUGUGGCAGCACUGGCUAUAAUAAUUUGAGCCAGGCAUUUCGAUGUGAUUUACAGUAACGACGGCAUUGAAGAGGCUCGAGGAUCUCUUGAACGAGGAUAUGAUGAGGUCUACUUGGAGGAUGGAUCCGCAUAAGUGAAUACACUGGUUUGCUUUUGAAAAUGGUUGAGGGGCCAAUGAUCGUUUAACUGAUGAGAGGUAGUCGCUGGUGGAAAUAAUGAUUUGAAAGACGUUCACUUCUUAAAAUAUCUCAUAUACACGUAGGUGGGAACAGAGGAAGGGGUCAGAUUUAUCAUGAUGAUAGCAAAAGUAACAAUACAAUCUAUAAUGUAGCUAAGUGUAGUAAGCAGAAUAAUACGUAAAGAAAAAGGGGGAUAUGAAAUAUCCAUAGUUGAUGCAUCGGAUGGACGAUAUUAUACCUCCAGGACAAAAACUUCUUGUAUCAUAGGAUGAAUCCAUCAAACUUGAUCAAUCAUUGACAAGCAAUCAACUAGUUAUUUUGUUCUUCUUGGCAUAUGUUAUUUUGGCACA